rnacentral:rRNA from 1 species
UACGUAGGGUGCGAGCGUUAAUCGGAAUUACUGGGCGUAAAGCGUGCGCAGGCGGUUCGUUAUGUCCGAUGUGAAAGCCCCGAGCUCAACUUGGGAAUGGCAUUGGAAACUGGCGGGCUGGAGUGUGGCAGAGGGGGGUGGAAUUCCACGUGUAGCAGUGUAAUGCGUAGAGAUGUGGAGGAAUACCGAUGGCGAAGGCAGCCCCCUGGGCUAACACUGACGCUCAUGCACGAAAGCGUGGGGAGCAAACAGG